GACAGAGGGUGCAAACGUUGUUCGGAUUUACUGGGCGUAAAGCGCGUGUAGGCGGCUUUGCAAGUCGGAUGUGAAAGCCCACGGCUCAACCGUGGAAGUGCAUCCGAAACUGCAUGGCUGGAGUCCCGGAGAGGAAGGUGGAAUGCUUGGUGUAGAGGUGAAAUUCGUAGAUAUCAAGCAGAACACCUGCGGCGAAGGCGGCCUCUGGACGGUGACUGACGC
rnacentral:rRNA from 1 species